rnacentral:rRNA from 1 species
CCUACGGGAGGCAGCAGUGAGGAAUAUUGGACAAUGGGCGCAAGCCUGAUCCAGCCAUGCCGCGUGCAGGAAGACGGUCCUAUGGAUUGUAAACUGCUUUUAUACAGGAAGAAAUACUUUCUCGUGAGAGAGCUUGACGGUACUGUAAGAAUAAGGAUCGGCUAACUCCGUGCCAGCAGCCGCGGUAAUACGGAGGAUCCAAGCGUUAUCCGGAAUCAUUGGGUUUAAAGGGUCCGUAGGCGGUUUAAUAAGUCAGUGGUGAAAUCUGGUCGCUCAACGAUCAAACGGCCAUUGAUACUGUUAGACUUGAAUUAUUGUGAAGUAACUAGAAUAUGUAGUGUAGCGGUGAAAUGCUUAGAUAUUACAUGGAAUACCAAUUGCGAAGGCAGGUUACUAACAAAUGGAUUGACGCUGAUGGACGAAAGCGUGGGGAGCGAACAGGAUUAGAUACCCUGGUAGUCCACGCCGUAAACGAUGGAUACUAGCUGUUGGGCGCAAGUUCAAGUGGCUAAGCGAAAAGUGAUAAGUAUCCCACCUGGGGAGUACGUUCGCAAGAAUGAAAACUCAAAGGAAUUGACGG